UGGGGAAUUUUGGACAAUGGGCGCAAGCCUGAUCCAGCCAUGCCGCGUGCGAGAAGAAGGCCUUCGGGUUGUAAACCGCUUUUGUCAGGGAAGAAAUCUUCUGAGUUAAUACCUCGGGAGGAUGACGGUACCUGAAGAAUAAGCACCGGCUAACUACGUGCCAGCAGCCGCGGUAAUACGUAGGGUGCAAGCGUUAAUCGGAAUUACUGGGCGUAAAGCGUGCGCAGGCGGUUUUGUAAGACAGAGGUGAAAUCCCCGGGCUCAACCUGGGAACUGCCUUUGUGACUGCAAGGCUUGAGUGCGGCAGAGGGGGAUGGAAUUCCGCGUGUAGCAGUGAAAUGCGUAGAUAUGCGGAGGAACACCGAUGGCGAAGGCAAUCCCCUGGGCCUGCACUGACGCUCAUGCACGAAAGCGUGGGGAGCAAAACAGGAUUAGAUACCCUGGUAGUCCACGCCCUAAACGAUGUCAACUGGUUGUUGGGAAGGUUCCUUCUCAGUAACGUAGCUAACGCGUGAAGUUGACCGCCUGGGGAGUACGGCCGCAAGGUUGAAACUUAAAUGAAUUGACGGGGUCAU
rnacentral:rRNA from 1 species